rnacentral:misc_RNA from 1 species
AACGGUCUAUACCUGCGGUACCUGCGGAAGGAUCAUUAUAGAGUGGUAAACCUCCCGUAAAAGGGGGGGACCUCCUGUCCUUUGUAGGCUCUUUUUUAAAAGGGCUUUUUUUAAUUUUCUGCUUCGGUGGGGUUAUCCCACCGGAACAACCUCAAAACUCUCAUCACAAAAUCGUUCUGUCUGAGAACCUUUUAUAAUAAAAAAAAACUUUUAACAAUGGAUCUCUAGAUCGGAAGAGCA